rnacentral:rRNA from 1 species
CCUACGGGAGGCAGCAGUGGGGAAUAUUGGGCAAUGGAGGAAACUCUGACCCAGCGACGCCGCGUGCGGGAUGAAGGCCUUCGGGUUGUAAACCGCUUUCAGUAGGGAAGAAGCGAAAGUGACGGUACCUACGGAAGAAGCACCGGCUAACUAUGUGCCAGCAGCCGCGGUAAUACAUAGGGUGCAAGCGUUGUCCGGAAUUAUUGGGCGUAAAGAGCUCGUAGGUGGUUCGUCACGUCGGAUGUGAAAAUCUGGGGCUCAACCCCAGACCUGCAUUCGAUACGGGCGAUCUAGAGUGUGGUAGGGGAGACUGGAAUUCCUGGUGUAGCGGUGGAAUGCGCAGAUAUCAGGAGGAACACCAAUGGCGAAGGCAGGUCUCUGGGCCAUUACUGACACUGAGGAGCGAAAGCGUGGGGAGCGAACAGGAUUAGAUACCCUGGUAGUCCACGCCGUAAACGGUGGGCACUAGUUGUGGGAACCUUCCACGGUUUCUGCGACGCNGCUACGCAUAGUCGCCCGCCGUCGGGUAGGUACGAGUCGCGAAGAAGUUAAACGUACGAAAGGUAAGUUAGUACGGCGUUGAGACGUUGCCGACGGCGACGACGAGGGAGAGG